rnacentral:rRNA from 1 species
UGGUUGUCGUCCCGCUCGYGUCGUGAGAUGUUGGGUUAAGUCCCGCAACGAGCGCAACCCUUGAUCUUUAUUUGCCAAGCAUUCAGUUGGGCACUCUAAGGUUGACUGCCGGUGACAAACCAGGAAGAUGGUGGGGGAUUGACGUCAAAUCAUCAUGCCCCUUAUGACCUGGGCUACACACGUGCUACAAUGGAUGGUACAAAGGGCUGCGAGACCGCGAGGUUAAGCGAAUCACAUAAAACCAUUCUCAGUUCGGAUUGCAG